GUCGCCCGGCCGGUAGCUAAGGAGGCCCAGCUGUGAUCCCGAGGCUUUGUAGGCGCCGCAGCCCUGGCCCUCUAGAGGCCGACGGAGGAGUGCGGGGGAAGUUAGCUUGCGCCUGUCUCGUCAGCCGUGCACGAGAAAAAAAAGGACCUUCGAGAAGAACAAGGGAGGGCAAGAGUUACCGAGUACAGGGACAUCUAUGUGGCCGCUCUGCUUUCCCGCCGUCACCUGCUGUUGAACUCCGGCCGCAUCGCGGUGUCCGGAGCCGCCUGGCCUGGAGUAUGCGCUGAGCGUCACCUAGGCAACCACCCCUGCACCUGUGGAUCAGGGUCUCGCUCUGUUGCCAAGGGUAGAAUGCAGUGUCGGGAUCAUAGCUCACUACAGACUUGACAUCCUGGACUCAAGAGAUCCUCCUGUGUCAGCCUCCCGAGUAGCUGGGACCACUGGCGCGCGACAAAUAAUUUGAAAGUGGGAGGAGGGGAACAGAACCACAUCAAAUGGCAGAUAUCAUAGAAUGAGAACUGAAUAUACGCGUUUUGUGGGAAACGCGUUCUUUUCCCCUUUCUCUAAGAUUCGCUUUUAAUUCACUAGCCACUAACCAGUUACCUAUCUCAUUACAGAUAUAAAAAACAAAA
rnacentral:lncRNA from 1 species